UUAUGACAAAUACACAGGGAAUGGAUUUCAAAACUUGUUUGAGUAGGUUGAGAGGAAAAGAUGGUAUCAACAUAGGUAAAACUGGUGGUAACAAUUACAGCAAAUCUAAAAUUGGUAAUGACGAGGAGAUUACAGAGGGCAGGACUUGUACUAGGAAGGAUGAUAGGAGGAUUUGGGCAAGAAAUGAUAGUGUCGGGAAAAAUAUUCAUGCUGAUGGUGCAGUUGGAUUAGAUACUGUAGAUCAGACAAGGGUGGCAGAGUCGAGAACAUUCAGAAGGGAGUUGUGUUCUCACAUUGAGGAGGGAGCAUUCCAUGAUGAACGCAUUAGAAGAGACAGUGAUGCUGUUGAUCCAAAUACAGAUCUGAAUGGGAGUCUCGAUAUGUUGAAUCCUUUUGUAGGGGUAGAUAUGCUCUGGAUCCUUAUGCGAGAGGUGAAGGAGAUGAUCGUUUGAUUGAUUCUCGAGCCAGCAGUAGGGGCAUAAAGCACCAUCUUUCAACUAAGUACCGUGUCCCAAUGUCUUUUCAUCACCUUGGGCCAGCAAAAGGGUUGCAUCAUCGUGUUACGAGAAGCAGGUCACCAGAUGCUAGAGAUGAGGCUCUUAGCAUGCGUCGGCGUAUUAGACCAUCUAGGAACCUUAGUCCUGGUUGGCAUGUGACUCUUGGCAGGGGCAGGUAUGUGAGAUAUGGUCUGCAAGCUGAAGGGAGAGACCCUUUUGCUGGCCCAAGGUGAUGAAAAGUGGUUUUGAAGUUGAUGAUCGCUGCCAUUCUUCCAUGGCACAUUCACAUCCUUUAGCCAAGAGAAAGAGAAGUUUUUCUCCAAUUAAAAGAAGAAGGGAUCAUCGAGUACAUCGAUCUCACUCAAAAUCUUCUUCAAGAUCCAGAAGUCAAUCUUCCGGCUCUGUCAAUCCAUUUGUUAGAUGCCGAAGUAAAUCCCCCAAUUUUAGAUCUGCUGUCAGAAUGCAGAGAAUGAGAUCACCUGAUCGGAGGUGGCCUGGUCUUUCAGCAGGUCAUGUGGGGGGGUGUAGACCAGCACAAAGAAAUCAUUGUUCACCGCCUCGCAAUACCCGAUGGGUUGUUGAUAGGAAGGAUAGUGUUUUUCAUCUUAGGGAACGGAGUUAUGAUAC
rnacentral:misc_RNA from 1 species